UUAGUAACUUAUUAGUAACCGUCUAGAGACUGUUAAUCAAGAAUAUAAUGAUCAACUUGAGAAGGAAAGGGUAAGAGAAAUCUUAAACAAAGAUGAAUAUGGGUCUGUCUUUGGCCACACUAAAACUGAAACGGUAAGUUCAGCAAAGUCACCGGAGAGAUAGAGCAACCACUCCAGCUCAGCCAGUACUCACAGCAGUAGAGUAGAUGCACAAGCAGAUUUUGCGGCUAAGCUGGAACAAUCAAAAGCCAUAAAAGAAAUCCAAGCACAGCAAGCACAUCUUCACAAGUUAGAAGGUGAAUGGAAACUUAGAGAAGCAAAAAUGUUAGUAGAAAUGAAGCAAAAAGUAUGGGAAAUGCAACAACAGUUGGAACAAGAGAGAUCCAAAUUGCAGCAGUUACAAGCAGCAAAAGACGUUGCCAUAGCAGCAGCUCGUGUGAGAGCAUAUGACAAUUUUGAAGGGUUUGAGAACCAUGAUGAGGAGAUUAAUGACCAAACUAACUCUGCUUGCUACAGAAAUCAAAAUGAACCUCGAUUAAAUCCUGAUGCCGCAUCAUUCCAACCUCACCAAACUGCUCCUGAGGUGACAAUGGCCCAGGAGUCUGUCAGUCUAGCCCAGGCAAUCGCCAGCUCAUUAAGCAUGAACCGCUUGCCGGUCCCUGAACCAACCACGUUCCGUGGUGACCCUCUACAGUUUACAGAUUGGAAGAUGUCAUUUAUAGCUCUUAUUGACAGAAAACCCCUCCCACCAAGUGAGAAGAUGUUUUAUCUAAAAAAUUAUCUUGCUGGAGAGGCGCGUAAAUCAGUAGAAGGUUUCUUUUAUCAAGAUUCAGAAAGUGCAUACAAUGGAGCAUGGAAAGUCUUACAAGACAGAUAUGGGAACCCGUUCAUCAUACAUAAAGCUUUCCGAGAUAAGCUCAUGAGAUGGCCAAAGAUCAACACAAAUGAUCCACUAGCAGUAAAAGAGUUUGCUGACUUCCUUCAAGGCUGCACUGAGGCGAUGCCUCACGUCAAAGGACUAGCUAUCCUUAACGAUUGUGAGGAAAACCACAAGAUGCUCAGAAAACUACCAGAAUGGAUCGUGCGCAAGUGGAG
rnacentral:lncRNA from 1 species